UUAAGGCGCUGGGAAAGCGGCGGCGGCGGCGGCGGCGGCGGCGGCGGCGAGAGCGACUCGGGACAGCAUGAGCGGCUGCGGGCUCUUCUUGCGCUCGGUGGCGGCGGCGCGCUCGUGCCGUGCCCUGGUGGCCUUCACCGCGAGUCGGCGCCCGCUGCGCACCAGUCCACCGAGCCAAGCUUUCGCCAAGGAGCUCUUCCUGGGCAAAAUCGAGAAGAAAGAAGUUUUCCCAUUUCCCGAAGUUAGCCAAGAUGAACUUAAUGAAAUUAAUCAGUUUGUGGGACCUGUAGAAAAAUUCUUCACUGAAGAGGUGGACUCUCAAAAAAUCGACCGGGAGGGAAAAAUCCCAAAUGAAACUUUAGAGAAACUGAAGAGCCUGGGGCUUUUUGGGAUGCAAGUCCCAGAAGAAUAUGGUGGCCUGGGCCUCUCCAACACCAUGUACGCGCGGCUGGGGGAGAUCAUCAGCCUGGAUAGCUCCAUCGCCGUGACACUGGCAGCACACCAGGCCAUCGGCCUCAAGGGCAUCAUCUUGGCCGGCAGCGAGGAGCAGAAGGCCAGGUACCUGCCCAAGCUGGCGUCCGGGGAGCACGUGGCCGCCUUCUGCCUGACGGAGCCGGCCAGUGGGAGCGAUGCCGCCUCCAUCCGGACCAGGGCCACGUUAAGUGAAGAUAAGAAACACUACGUCCUCAACGGCUCCAAGGUCUGGAUCACCAAUGGAGGACUGGCCAGUGUUUUUACUGUGUUUGCAAAGACAGAGGUUGUUGAUGCUAAUGGCUCAGUAAAGGACAAGGUCACAGCGUUCAUAGUAGAGAGAGACUUUGGUGGAGUCACCAGCGGGAAACCUGAGGAUAAGUUAGGCAUCCGAGGCUCCAACACCUGCGAGGUCCACUUUGAGAACACCAGGGUGCCCGUGGGAAACGUCCUCGGAGAAGUUGGAGGCGGCUUUAAGGUGGCCAUGAACAUCCUCAACAGCGGGCGGUUCAGCAUGGGCAGUGCCGUGGCCGGGAUGCUCAAGACACUGAUAGAAAUGACCGCCGAGUACGCGUGCACAAGGAAACAGUUCAACAGGAACCUCAGCGAGUUUGGAUUGAUUCAGGAGAAGUUUGCCCUGAUGGCUCAGAAGGCUUACGUGAUGGAAAGCAUGGCCUACCUCACCGCGGGGAUGCUGGACCAGCCGGGCUUUCCUGACUGCUCCAUCGAGGCCGCCAUGGUGAAGGUGUUCAGCUCCGAGGCCGCGUGGCAGUGCGUGAGCGAGGCGCUCCAGGUCCUCGGGGGCUCGGGCUACAUGAGGGACUACCCGUACGAGCGCAUCCUGCGCGACAGCCGUAUCCUGCUCAUCUUUGAGGGAACCAACGAGAUUCUCCGGAUGUACAUCGCCCUGACAGGCUUGCAGCAUGCCGGCCGCAUCCUGACUGCAAGGGUCAAGCAGCUUAAACAGGGCAAUGUGACCACCAUCAUGGAGACUAUCGGCCAGAGGCUUCGGGACUCCCUGGGCCGAACUGUGGACCUUGGGCUGACAGGGAAGCUCGGAGUCGUGCACCCCAGCAUGGCGGACAGCGCCCACAAGCUCGAACAGAGCGUGCACUACUUCAGCCGCACCGUGGAGACCCUGCUGCUUCGCUUUGGCAAGACCAUCGUGGAGGAGCAGCUGGUCUUGAAGCGAGUGGCCAACGUCCUCAUCAACCUGUACGGGAUGACGGCCGUGCUGUCGCGGGCCAGCCGCUCUAUCCGCGUGGGGCUCCAGAACCACGACCACGAGGUUCUGUUGGCCAACAUCUUCUGCACGGAAGCUUACCACCAGAAUCUCUGCACCCUGUCUCAGCUGGACAAGCAUUCUCCGGAAAAUCUCGAUGAACUGAUCAAGAAAGUGUCCCAGCAGGUCCUGGAGAAGCGAGCCUACGUCUGUGCCCACCCUCUGGACCGGACGUCCUGAAGCAGGGGGUCAGCGUCCCUGCUGCUGUCCGCCCGACACACGCCUUCCAGAAGAGCAAAGGAAACCAUAAACAAGAAGAAAAGACAACCCUCUGAAUGGGAGAAAAUAUUUGCAAACGAAGCAACUGACAAAGAAUUAAUCUCCAGAAUAUACAAGCAGCUCAUGGAGCUCAAUAUCAAAAAAACCAACCCAAUCCAAAAAUGGGCAGAAGACCUAAACAGACAUUUCUCCAAAGAAGAUAUACAUAUUGCCAACAAGCACAUGAAAAGAUGCUCAACAUCACUAAUCAUUAGAGAAAUGCAAAUCAAGACUACAAUGAGGUAUCACCUCACACCGGUCAGAAUGGCCAUCAUCAAAAAAUCUACAAACAAUAAAUGCUGGAGAGGGUGUGGAGAAAAGGGAACCCUCUUGCACUGUUGGUGGGAAUGUAAAUUGAUACAGCCACUAUGGAGAACAGUAUGGAGGUUCCUUAAAAAACUAAAAACAGAGCUACCAUAUGACCCAGCAAUCCCACUACUGGGCAUAUACCCAGAGAAAACCGUAACUCAAAAAGAGUCAUGUACCACAAUGUUCAUUGCAGCACUAUUUACAAUAGCCAGGACAUGGAAGCAACCUAAGUGUCCAUCAACAGAUGAAAGGAUAAAGAAGAUGUGGCACAUAUAUACAAUGGAAUAUUACUCAGCCAUAAAAAGAAACGAAAUUGAGUUAUUUGUAGUGAGGUGGAUGGACCUAGAGUCUGUCAUAUGGAGUGAAGCAAGUCAGAAAGAGAAAAACAAAUACUGUAAGCUCACACAUAUAUACGGAAUCUAAGGGGAAAAAAUGGUUCUGAUGAACCUAGGGGAAAGACAGGAAUAAAGAUGCAGACGUAGAGAAUAGAGUUGAGGACAUGGGGAGGGGGAAGGGGAAGCUGGGAUGAAGUGAGAGAGUAGCACUGACAUAUAUACACUACCACAUGUAAAACAGAUAGCUAGUGGGAAGCAGCCACAUAGCACAGGGAGAUCAGCUCGGUGCUUUUGUGACCACCUAGAAGGGUGGGAUAGGGAGGAUGGGAGGGAGGCUCAAGAGGGAGGGGAUAUGGGGGUAUAUGUAUACAUAUAGCUGAUUCACUUUGUUAUACAGCAGAAACUAACAGCAUUGUAAAGCAAUCAUACUCCACUAAGGAUGUUAAAAAAAAAAAAAAAGAUACUGCUUUUGUUAUUUUUGACAGUACACACACACACGCUCUUACAUGUAUAUUUUAAUAAUAACAAAAUUAUAUCAUUUGUGAAAAUAGCACAGGAAAUCAUGAGAAUUUCUAGAAAAUAAAAUAUGACUGGUGCAAUUUAAAAUGAGAAAUUAUUAACAAUUGUGACUAACAGUGGUCAAAGUGGAAGAUAUAGCUGAACUCAGUGCAAAAGACCAACAAGUACAAAUUAAGAGGGAAAAAAAUCAUGGUGGAAGGCCCUUUAAGUUCUGGUGAAAAACAAAAAAAAUCCCCCACCUGCACACCUAGAACCAAGGAUUAAGAAAAAGUUUUAAAAGAGUAGAGGAAAUCAUAGUUUAGCUAAAAAGGAAACAUAAUCAGGUAGGCAUCAGACUUAUCUGCAACACUUGAUUCUAAAAAGCAAUGGAUUUGGGGGAGAGGGGGGAGGAGGAUUUGAUUCUAUAAUCCUGAAAACAGCCCAGCCAUGUCUCAAGUGCAAAGACAGAGUUAAGACCUUGGAUCUGCAAGCACUCUGAAAGCUUACUGUCAAAAAAAAUAGCAAAACAAAGGGUAAAGUAGACACAGACUCCAAAUAUAGUAGGAAACACAAAAAUAAGUAAAGCUUGUAGUUGGGCAGGAGGAUGGUAGGACUUUUAACAUGGUGAAGCUGGGAGCUUGGUCCUUUCCUCAAAGAGCAAGGAUAAAACUGGACAAAACUGUCAAAAGCUACCACUGGAAACUGUCCAAAGGCAUACAACAAGGUGAGAAGCGUUAACUCAUAAAACUACUGAACCUCAGGUAAGGAGAGUAGGCGUCAGCAUCAUUCCUGACAUCUCAGCACGGUCAGAGCAGUCAUCCUUCUACCGUGGGCAAGCUGUGAAAAUCAGCGGCUGCACUGCUCACUCUAUUACAGGCUCACUUGAGUCAGAUUGGAGCUUGUAGAACCCCAGAUGUGUGGUCACUGUAAGGGACAACAGCCAUCUCAACAGCAAACAGGGAAGGCCGGAUGCUCUGUGGGGCUGAGGUCGUGAGCCUACAUGGCUCAAGCGACAGACCAGCAGAUUCAUCAGAACUGAACAGGAAGAUACAGGAAACGGAUGGCCUCAGGGGACCUUGGUAAGCUCGACACACAUCCCUCGCUGACAGGCUGCCUGCGCGUGCAGAGGAGACGUGAGAGGGCCCAGUGGGAGGCCAGAGCUGGCGCAGUCUGGACGCACCCCCAGAUCCCCUGGAAAGGCCGGCACCUUCCUGGCUCCAGGUGCUUCAGCACGACUUCCGACCAGUGGUUGGCUCAUCACGAAGUGACGCAGACACAGAGUUGACCCAAGGGAAACCAGGCUUAAAAAUGAAAACAAUGAAAAUAUCGGCAGAGAUAGCGAUGGCCACACCCCCUGAGGAGACAGAUUCCACAGAUGAAGUGCAGGCAAGUUACUCAGCAGACAACCACCCCUCUCCCCCAGGCGGAGAGAGUCAGAAUCCAAAGGUGUGGCCAUGUAUGUCAGAUGUCCAGCUUUUGAUGAAAAACUAGAAGGCAUGCAAAGAAAUAGGAAUGUGUAAACCUUACUCAGGAAAGCAAAGCAGUCAAUAGAGUGGGUCCAGCAGGUUGACUUAGUAGACAAAGAUUUCAAAGCAGCUAUUAUGAAAAAAAAAAACUUAAAAAUUAUUCUGAAAGUUCAAGGAAAGUAUAGAACACUGAAUAAAGAAAUAGACAAUAUUAACAAAGAGGAAUCAUUUUUUAAAAGAGCUAACUGAAAAUUCUGGAGUUAGAACAUAUAGGAACUGAAACUGAAAAUUCACUAGAGGGACUCAGUGGCUGAUUUGAGCUGACAAAGAAUCUGAAUUUGAAAAUGGGGACAACAAAACCAGAGAUUAUCCAAUCUGAAAAACAAAAACAAAAAAUAUUUUUAAAAAAUUAACAGAUCCUCAAGACCUGCAGGACAUUAUCUAGUGAACCAACAUACAUGUAC